rnacentral:rRNA from 1 species
GACGAACGCUGGCGGCGUGCUUAACACAUGCAAGUCGAGCGGUAAGGCCCUUUCGGGGGUACACGAGCGGCGAACGGGUGAGUAACACGUGGGUGACCUGCCCUCAGCUCUGGGAUAAGCCUGGGAAACCGGGUCUAAUACUGGAUAUGACUCCAUGACGCAUGUUGUGGGGUGGAAAGCCUUGUGCGGCUGAGGAUGGGCCCGCGGCCUAUCAGCUUGUUGGUGGGGUGANGGCCUACCAAGGCGACGACGGGUAGCCGGCCUGAGAGGGCGACCGGCCACACUGGGACUGAGACACGGCCCAGACUCCUACGGGAGGCAGCGGUGGGGAAUCUUGCGCAAUGGGCGAAAGCCUGACGCAGCGACGCCGCGUGAGGGAUGACGGCCUGGUGUAAC